rnacentral:rRNA from 1 species
UUAAGCGACUAAGCGUACACGGUGGAUGCCCUGGCAGUCAGAGGCGAUGAAGGACGUGCUAAUCUGCGAUAAGCGUCGGUAAGGUGAUAUGAACCGUUAUAACCGGCGAUUUCCGAAUGGGGAAACCCAGUGUGUUUCGACACACUAUCAUUAACUGAAUCCAUAGGUUAAUGAGGCGAACCGGGGGAACUGAAACAUCUAAGUACCCCGAGGAAAAGAAAUCAACCGAGAUUCCCCCAGUAGCGGCGAGCGAACGGGGAGGAGCCCAGAGCCUGAAUCAGUGUGUGUGUUAGUGGAAGCGUCUGGAAAGGCGCGCGAUACAGGGUGACAGCCCCGUACACAAAAAUGCACAUAUUGUGAGCUCGAUGAGUAGGGCGGGACACGUGGUAUCCUGUCUGAAUAUGGGGGGACCAUCCUCCAAGGCUAAAUACUCCUGACUGACCGAUAGUGAACCAGUACCGUGAGGGAAAGGCGAAAAGAACCCCGGCGAGGGGAGUGAAAAAGAACCUGAAACCGUGUACGUACAAGCAGUGGGAGCCUCUUUUAUGGGGUGACUGCGUACCUUUUGUAUAAUGGGUCAGCGACUUAUAUUCUGUAGCAAGGUUAACCGAAUAGGGGAGCCGAAGGGAAACCGAGUCUUAACUGGGCGUUAAGUUGCAGGGUAUAGACCCGAAACCCGGUGAUCUAGCCAUGGGCAGGUUGAAGGUUGGGUAACACUAACUGGAGGACCGAACCGACUAAUGUUGAAAAAUUAGCGGAUGACUUGUGGCUGGGGGUGAAAGGCCAAUCAAACCGGGAGAUAGCUGGUUCUCCCCGAAAGCUAUUUAGGUAGCGCCUCGUGAAUUCAUCUCCGGGGGUAGAGCACUGUUUCGGCAAGGGGGUCAUCCCGACUUACCAACCCGAUGCAAACUGCGAAUACCGGAGAAUGUUAUCACGGGAGACACACGGCGGGUGCUAACGUCCGUCGUGAAGAGGGAAACAACCCAGACCGCCAGCUAAGGUCCCAAAGUCAUGGUUAAGUGGGAAACGAUGUGGGAAGGCCCAGACAGCCAGGAUGUUGGCUUAGAAGCAGCCAUCAUUUAAAGAAAGCGUAAUAGCUCACUGGUCGAGUCGGCCUGCGCGGAAGAUGUAACGGGGCUAAACCAUGCACCGAAGCUGCGGCAGCGACGCUUAUGCGUUGUUGGGUAGGGGAGCGUUCUGUAAGCCUGUGAAGGUGUGCUGUGAGGCAUGCUGGAGGUAUCAGAAGUGCGAAUGCUGACAUAAGUAACGAUAAAGCGGGUGAAAAGCCCGCUCGCCGGAAGACCAAGGGUUCCUGUCCAACGUUAAUCGGGGCAGGGUGAGUCGACCCCUAAGGCGAGGCCGAAAGGCGUAGUCGAUGGGAAACAGGUUAAUAUUCCUGUACUUGGUGUUACUGCGAAGGGGGGACGGAGAAGGCUAUGUUGGCCGGGCGACGGUUGUCCCGGUUUAAGCGUGUAGGCUGGUUUUCCAGGCAAAUCCGGAAAAUCAAGGCUGAGGCGUGAUGACGAGGCACUACGGUGCUGAAGCAACAAAUGCCCUGCUUCCAGGAAAAGCCUCUAAGCAUCAGGUAACAUCAAAUCGUACCCCAAACCGACACAGGUGGUCAGGUAGAGAAUACCAAGGCGCUUGAGAGAACUCGGGUGAAGGAACUAGGCAAAAUGGUGCCGUAACUUCGGGAGAAGGCACGCUGAUAUGUAGGUGAAGUCCCUUGCGGAUGGAGCUGAAAUCAGUCGAAGAUACCAGCUGGCUGCAACUGUUUAUUAAAAACACAGCACUGUGCAAACACGAAAGUGGACGUAUACGGUGUGACGCCUGCCCGGUGCCGGAAGGUUAAUUGAUGGGGUCAGCGCAAGCGAAGCUCUUGAUCGAAGCCCCGGUAAACGGCGGCCGUAACUAUAACGGUCCUAAGGUAGCGAAAUUCCUUGUCGGGUAAGUUCCGACCUGCACGAAUGGCGUAAUGAUGGCCAGGCUGUCUCCACCCGAGACUCAGUGAAAUUGAACUCGCUGUGAAGAUGCAGUGUACCCGCGGCAAGACGGAAAGACCCCGUGAACCUUUACUAUAGCUUGACACUGAACAUUGAGCCUUGAUGUGUAGGAUAGGUGGGAGGCUUUGAAGUGUGGACGCCAGUCUGCAUGGAGCCGACCUUGAAAUACCACCCUUUAAUGUUUGAUGUUCUAACGUGGACCCGUGAUCCGGGUUGCGGACAGUGUCUGGUGGGUAGUUUGACUGGGGCGGUCUCCUCCUAAAGAGUAACGGAGGAGCACGAAGGUUGGCUAAUCCUGGUCGGACAUCAGGAGGUUAGUGCAAUGGCAUAAGCCAGCUUGACUGCGAGCGUGACGGCGCGAGCAGGUGCGAAAGCAGGUCAUAGUGAUCCGGUGGUUCUGAAUGGAAGGGCCAUCGCUCAACGGAUAAAAGGUACUCCGGGGAUAACAGGCUGAUACCGCCCAAGAGUUCAUAUCGACGGCGGUGUUUGGCACCUCGAUGUCGGCUCAUCACAUCCUGGGGCUGAAGUAGGUCCCAAGGGUAUGGCUGUUCGCCAUUUAAAGUGGUACGCGAGCUGGGUUUAGAACGUCGUGAGACAGUUCGGUCCCUAUCUGCCGUGGGCGCUGGAGAACUGAGGGGGGCUGCUCCUAGUACGAGAGGACCGGAGUGGACGCAUCACUGGUGUUCGGGUUGUCAUGCCAAUGGCACUGCCCGGUAGCUAAAUGCGGAAGAGAUAAGUGCUGAAAGCAUCUAAGCACGAAACUUGCCCCGAGAUGAGUUCUCCCUGACCCUUUAAGGGUCCUGAAGGAACGUUGAAGACGACGACGUUGAUAGGCCGGGUGUGUAAGCGCAGCGAUGCGUUGAGCUAACCGGUACUAAUGAACCGUGAGGCUUAACCUU